GGUCAAAAGCCUCGGUACGAGUGGAAAGAAGAGUAUGAGACGUGGGAUCAGAAAAAUAUGGUGACGUUUAAAAGUGGGAAGGGAAGCGACGAGGGGGCAGAGUUUUAAAAUAGUAGAAAGAGGGACCCAGCGAGAGAGGAGGAAAAGGGAGGGAUAUGCUGAGAUGGAGGAAUGCAGGGUUGGAACGACAACUCGACGUACAGAGAGAGAGAGAGAGAGAACAAGAGAGCAGAAGUCAGACUGGGUGUAUACAUCUCACAGGGGCUGGGAGCCUAAAUCCUAGGAGGAAGCCUCUUUAGACCAUCACUAAAUUCAUCUAUAAUAAAGGUUCAAAGCGCAAGACCCCACCUCUGUCUUUGGUUCUGGAGAUGUCCUUGAUCUACUAAUUCUGAAUUAAAAGACCAAGGUCGUGACAAAUCUGGAGCCCACCAUGGGAACAUCAGGCACAAGGCAAGAGAACUCACCCUGGAUGGGAGGCCAGUCCAUCACAGGCACCAUGAACACACACACACACACACACACACACACACACACACACAUUUACACUUAUGGUCAAUUUAGUGUAGCAUGUGUCUGGUAUGUUUUUUUUCAGACAGUGGGAGAAAGCUGGAGAACCUGGAGGAAAUCCAGGGAAACACAGGGAGAACAUGCAAAACUCCACGCAGACAGUAACCAGAGCUCAGGAUUGAACUCAGGGCCCUGGAACUGUCAGGAGCUGCAAAAGUACCUGCUGUGCCAUUGUGCUGCCCUUAAUGAUCUUCAGUAAAUGCCAAUAUGUUAUAAAGGAAUUUAUUAUUAGACUACAUUUUUAUACUGAACAAACAGCCAGUUAGCUGAACUUUAUAUACAACCUUUAGUUCUUACAUCAUUAAUAACCAUGAUUAGAAGAAGAAAGUAGAAAGAAAUCAUCAGGGUCUAGUCAUUUUUACUAUCACUAUAACACUCAACAUUACACUCAAGUGUAACAUACAUCAAAGCAAAGAGAAAAGAUAUUUAGCAUACCCAUUUCCCAGCAUGCAAAAAGAUUUACAAUUUAAUGUAGUGUGCUACAACUAUUUUCUCACAAGCCCAGCUUAUUAGUCAGCCAUUGGUCAGUUAUGGUAUACAGUACAGUUACAGCCUAUGUACAAUACUAAAAGAUAAACUACAAGAGGUAUAAUGCCAUAGGAAUUAUAAUACAUGUAACACUCUUAAUGAGUAACAUAUCUUGCCAAUGCCUAUGAUGUUUUAUGCCUAAAACAACAUCAGAUUUUCACACAAGUCCUAAAAGUAGACAAAGAGAACCCAGUUGAACAAACGAGACAAAAAUAGUAUACUUGGUCAUUUAUUUAUUAAGGAAAAUGAUCCAAUAUUACAUAUCUGUGAGUGGCAAAAGUAUGUGAACCAGUGGAAUGACAAUCAGGUGUGAGUGAGCACCAUGUUUUAUUUAAAGAACAGGGAUCUAUCAGAGUCUGAUCUUCACAACACGUGUUUGUGGACGUGUAUUGUGGCAUGAACCAAGGAGAUUUAUAAGGACCUCAGAAAAAGAGUUGUUGAUGCUCAUCAGGAUGGAAAAGCUUACAAAACCAUCUCUAAAGAGUUUUGACUCCACCACUCUACAGUCAGACAGAUUGUAUGUAAAUGGAGAAAAUACAAGACCAUUGUUACCCUCCCCAGGAGUGCUCAACCAACAAAGAUCACUCCAAGAGCAAGAUGUGUAAUAGUCCUUGAGGUCACAAAGGAACCCAGAGUAACUUUUAAGCAACUAAAGGCCUCUCUCACAUUGCCGAAUAUUAAUGUCUAACAUGAGACCAAAAUAGAAUUUUUGGUUUAAAUGAGAAGCGUUAUGUUUGGAGCAAAGACAAACACUGCAUUCCAGCAUAAGAUCCUUAUCCCAUCUGUGAAACAUGGUGGUGGUAGCAUUAUGAUUUGUAUAAUAUUUUUGUCUCAUUUGUUUAACUGGGUUCUCUUUAUUUACUUUUAGGACGUGUGUAAAUAUCUGAUUAUGUUUUAGGUCAUAUCUAUGCAGAAAUAUUUUGUUUUAAAUUAUAAAGGGUUCACAACUUUCAAGCACUACUGUAAGUUGAAUUAAGUGAAAUGGUUUAUCACUUGAAAUAAAGUAUUGUAAAUACUGUAAAUGCAUAUGUAAUAAAAAAUAGUAGAGUGCUUUUACUCUAUGUGCUGCCUGUAAUGACCGAAUCGGAUCUCAAAGCUUUAUUGCUUAACAUCUUAAAAUCACAGAAUUACAGUUCCAAGGUAGACAGAAAAAUUUUGAUGAAUGUUUGUUAAGUAAGGAAUAAAACACAAUAGGGCAUGCUUUUCAUAGGAAAAAUAAUCCAUAAUGUGGUGGUGUGAUUAAUUCAAUUAUCUUAAUUCAAUAAGACAAAAAAUGUCAUGUUACCAAUAAACCAAAAAGUGCAAAUUCCUCUAUCCUGAAGAGUCUCCUGUUGCAGCAAACUUACUGAUCUUUACAAUAUUUACAUGUUGUCUGUACAACAUAUUUGAGAGUCCUUCUGUAAAUGUUAAAAUAA